rnacentral:piRNA from 1 species
UGGACUGCCGUUAUGUGACUGGGGUGAU